rfam:Chelonia mydas contig195961, whole genome shotgun sequence.
GUACUAGGUCAAAUGUUGUGCCUAAAAUUGGAACGAUACAGAGAAGAUUAACAUGGCCCCUGCGCAAGGAUGACACGCAAAUUCGUGAAGCGUUCCAUAUUAAA